CCCCGGCUAGCUCUGUUGGUAGAGCAUGAGACUCAUAAUCUCAAGGUAGUGGGUUUGUGUCCCAUGGCGGGGG
rfam:Lepisosteus oculatus linkage group LG5, whole genome shotgun sequence.